GGUCAUUUGUGGUCACCAAUUUAUAAGACUGCGAGCCCUGAGCUCCACCUCAUCGUUGAGCUUCCAUUUCCAUUCGACCUUCCAGAACCUUCAUUUCUCUCUUUCUCUCUCUACUUUCUCUCUCCUCCAACUUCCCCAAGAAACUUCUCUGCGAUUUUUCAUUUCUUUAUGCUACAAGAGAUGAAUCCUCUGUUUUCGGUUAAGGAAGAGUUUCCUGGAUCGAAUUCGUCGGAGGCCGACAGAGAGCGAUUGGCUAUGGCUCCUCCGAUUCCGAUGGAGGGCCUUCACGAUGCCGGUCCACCGCCGUUUCUGACGAAGACGUUUGAAAUCGUUGAUGAUUUUAACACCGAUCAUGUGAUUUCUUGGAGCUUUGGGGGAAAUAGCUUCGUCGUUUGGGAUCCCCAUUGCUUCUCCACUGAAUUGCUUCCCAGAUUCUUUAAGCAUAAUAACUUUUCCAGUUUCGUUCGGCAGCUUAAUACUUACGGCUUUAGAAAGAUAGAUCCAGAUAGAUGGGAGUUCGCAAAUGAGGGAUUUCUCAGAGGCCAAAAGCAUCUUCUUAAGAACAUAAAGAGGAGGAGGGCAACUUAUCACCACCACCAAACUCCCCAAUCACAAGCUGCUAGUGGAGCUUGUGUAGAGGUUGGUCAAUUUGGUGUAGAUGCAGAAAUGGAUCGUUUAAAACGUGACAAGCAAGUGCUAAUGAUGGAGUUAGUGAAGCUAAGGCAAGAGCAACAGAACACGAGAGCGUAUCUUCAAGCAAUGGAGCAAAGGCUUAGAGGAACUGAAAUUAAGCAGAGACAAAUGAUGAAUUUCUUAGCAAGAGCUAUGCAAAACCCAUCGUUCAUUCAGCAAUUACUCCAGCAGAAGGAGAAGAGGAAGGUGCUUGAAGAAGCCAUAACUAGGAAAAGAAGAAGGCCUAUUCAACAAGGCGGGAAACAGAGCGGAGGUGGUAGUGGGAGAUUCUUGGGUGAAGGUUCAAGCACCAUCAAGAUUGAGCCUCUUGAACCUGAAGAAUAUGGGUUUGGGAUUACAGAGCUAGAAGCACUUGCCUUGGAGAUGCAGGGGCUUGGCAGGGCAAGACAUGAAGAGGAGGAGGAGGAGGAGGAGGAGGAGGAGGAGGAGGAAGAAGAAGAAGAAGAAGAGGAAGAAGAUCAUUUACCUCCACCAGCGGAUGGAGAUAAAGUACUUGAUGAAGGGUUUUGGGAAGAAUUGUUCAGCGAAAGGUUGGAGGUAGCCAGUGGUGACGAUGAAGAUGUGAAAGUUCUGGCUGAUCGUUUGGGCUAUUUGGGCUCAAACCCACGAUAGAGCCAUCCCGCUGGGCAUCAUAUGGGGAAUUCACAAACGACCCAUUUGAACUGGAAGUCCAGAAAAGGCUGCUCCAUGUAGGCCUUUGGGGCAAUGUUCUAAGCCCCUUUAUAACCCUCUUUUGGUUUCUUCUUUGGCAGGACAAGAAGAUGAAAAGAAAGAUCGGUGCUAUCAGGGACACAGCUUUUUCUGUUUUGGCAUUAUCUUUCUAACACAAAAAUAAUCGUUGAUGCUUUCCCUUCCCCCUUCUGCAGCCACUUCCUCAUAUAUAUUUCUCUACUGUGGCUUUUGUUAGGUUUGCAGGAACCUAAUCUGGUUGGACUCAAAUUCUGUGUUUAUCCUGUUAGUGAAGCCUCAAGAUCGCUCAUUCCAAAAGCUAUCAAAUUGGAAAAGAGAAAAGAUGUGUUGCUGAAUCCUUGAAGAAUCGAUCACAUGCUGUUCCGUGUUUCUAAAUUAUUUAAGAAUCGAGUUUGUAUCCGUCUGAGUGUCUGAGUUUGGGAGCAGUUGGAGGUGAGUUUGGACAAAUUUAGUUCUCUUUAAGCACUAUUUUCUUAUCACUUUAACGUUAAAAAUUCAUGUUAGUCAUAUUUGAACUUUGUCAAAUCACGGGAAAGUUUUAUUUGUCUCCGAAA